UACGUAGGGGGCAAGCGUUGUCCGGAUUUAUUGGGCGUAAAGCGCGUGUAGGUGGCCAAGUAGGUCCGCUGUGAAAACUUGAGGCUCAACCUCAAGCUGUCGGUGGAAACCCUCGUGUAGAGUCCGGAAGAGGAGAGUGGAAUUCCUGGUGUAGCGGUGAAAUGCGCAGAUAUCAGGAAGAACACCAAUGGCGAAGGCAGCUCUCUGGGACGGUACUGACACUGAGACGCGAAAGCGUGGGGAGCGAACAGG
rnacentral:rRNA from 1 species